rnacentral:lncRNA from 1 species
AUGAAUGAAAUAUUGAAGCUUGUCAUUUGGCUAGUGACUAUUACUUUGACCAGCUCUUUGACCAGCAUUUUUUUUUAUCUAGUGGCAGAGCUGAAGCAGAUGUUGAUGCAGGACAGCUUGGCUAUGAAGAAUUCGUGGCGGGUGAGGAGGUUGGUGUUUGGAAGAACUGAUGACCAGCAUGAUGAGGAGAUUCCUCACCGUGGUGACCAGCUCAGUUUUCUAAACUGUGUUCCCUGGAUGUUAACAAGUGAUUCAAGAAGUUUCUGUGAUAUUUGAAGCCCGAGUGUCAUUGGGAGCUCAUGCUUGAAGCCUUGUCAGACAAAAGGGCUUAUCUGGGAAGUUAUGUCCUCAUGUCUCUGUCUCUCUCGAGUUCACGCCAUGGGAUCCACAAAGUUAUGUGUCCAUGUGGUGCGACUCCACCACACAGGCAAAUCUAUGCCCUUAAAUCGGAUGCAUGUGAAAUGGGAAAACAUAAUAAAAUGUGAUUUUAAGAUAUUGGCUCGUGAAAGCACCUGGGUGACUCACCAGUUGAGUGUCUCCCCUCGGCUCAAGGCAUGAUCCUGGGGUCCUGGGAUCAAGUCCUGCCUUGGGUUUCCUGCAUGGAGCCUGCUUCUCCCUUUGCCUGUGUCUCUCCCUCUCUCUCAUGAAUAAAUAAAAUCCCUUAAAAAAAGAAAAAAUAAGAUAUUGACUCA